CAGAGUAACAAUUGGAGGGCAAGUCUGGUGCCAGCAGCCGCGGUAAUUCCAGCUCCAAUAGCGUAUAUUAAACUUGUUGCAGUUAAAAAGCUCGUAGUUGAAUUUUUGCGUCACCGUGUAUCGACAUUUGUCGUUUAUCGGUUUCGCUUUUGGGAUUUAUCCCUUUUUACUUUGAGAAAAUUAGAGUGUUUCAAGCAGACUUUUGUCUUGAAUACUUCAGCAUGGAAUAAUAGAGUAGGACUUUGGUUCUAUUUUGUUGGUUUGUGAACCUUAGUAAUGGUUAAUAGGAACGGUUGGGGGCAUUCGUAUUUAACUGUCAGAGGUGAAAUUCUUAGAUUUGUUAAAGACGAACUACUGCGAAAGCAUUUGCCAAGGACGUUUUCAUUAAUCAAGAACGAAAGUUAGGGGAUCGAAGACGAUCAGAUACCGUCGUAGUCCUAACCAUAAACUAUGCCGACUAGGGAUUGGAGGUCGUCAUUUUUCCGACUCCUUCAGCACCUUGAGAGAAAUCAAGG
rnacentral:rRNA from 1 species